UACGUAGGGGGCAAGCGUUGUCCGGAAUCAUUGGGCGUAAAGCGCGUGUAGGCGGUCCGGUAAGUCCGCUGUGAAAGUCGGGGGCUCAACCCUCGGAUGCCGGUGGAUACUGUCGGGCUUGAGCACGGAAGAGGCGAGUGGAAUUCCUGGUGUAGCGGUGAAAUGCGCAGAUAUCAGGAGGAACACCAAUUGCGAAGGCAGCUCGCUGGGACGUUACUGACGCUGAGACGCGAAAGCGUGGGGAGCAAACAGG
rnacentral:rRNA from 1 species